UGGGGUUGGGCUCAAUGGUAGAGUGCUUGCCUUGCAUGUGUGAGGUCCUGGGUUCAAUCCCUGGUACCACAA
rnacentral:tRNA from 1 species